UUGAAUCUCCAUGAUGCUAUUAAUAUUUCAGUGCCAGAUAAGUUAACUCAUACUAAAAUAAACAUUUUUACCUCAAAAAAGAUCUUUAAGCAAAUAUUGAAUUCUAAUUAAUUACAAAUUACAGAUAAAUAAUUACAAAUUAUUUUAGGUUAUGUAUUUGUAAUUAUUCAUAAUAAAAUAUUGGCCAAAAAGACUUUAUUAGAAACAGCAUUUCACGCCAUGCAAAGGUUUUCAGUAUGAAGAUACAGAUCCUACAAUAACUUCACAAUCAUGCUACUGCGAUUUCACUCACAUCUCUGAAUUUUUCUCUUCGACAUUCCAGCUUGUCCCCAUGGGCCAAGUACCAUCAUAUUCUCUACCACAGGGCAGUGGUGUUCUGAAAGGUUUAUUCUCUUUCUCAUCCUAGUCAUCCACAGUACCCACUGCACACCCUUCCUUAUUUAUGUGCUAAAAAAAACCAGAACUUCUUCAGAGCUGAUUAACAAUUCAGAGGGAUGGCUAUGUAGACCCACAUAUCGUAAGCAGUGACCUAACUGUGGCAUAUUCUUACAACAGCAAUUGUGCAAAUUCAGUCAGAGGGAGACAACUUCUCUUACACCCUGCUUCUCUGUGUGCCAGUUUAUGUUUUCUAAAACGGUUCCAACAGUACCUCUGGGCCCACGUGCUCUUCCAGACACGACCUUUUUCCUCUCCUCAAACCCGGUUCAAUGAAUAGAAUGUGGCAGAAGUAUUAAUGUUGCCUAGUGUCAAAGGCUUGGAGAAGGCAAUGGCAGCCCACUCCAGGGUUCUUGCCUGGAGAAUCCCAGGGACGGGGGAGCCUGGUGGGCUGCCGUCUAUGGGGUCGCACAGAGUCGGACACGACUGAGCGACUUGGCAGCAGCAGUGUCAAAGGCUAGACGAUCAUUUUCUACCUACUCUUAAUCUCUCUCUCUCAACUCUCUCUCAGCAUGCUCACUCUUGGAACCCAGCCACCAUGCUUCAAGAAGCCCAAACCAGCUCAUGCAGAAAGAUCACAUGGAGAGGCCCAUUAGAACAAGGAAUGAGGUCUUCAGCCUACAGCCAGCCUAAACUGCCAGCCAUGAGCAGAGAAGUGGGGGCCAGUCUGUAACACCGAGGAUAGAGCUAAGUGCGCAUGCUCAGCUUCUUCUCCCAACCUCUAAUCUGAAGACUCCCUCCUCCUCCAAACAGAAUGAGGGCCUGGAAAAGGCAUGCACAGUGUUAGAGCUGCUGAGCGACUUCCACCCAGAAACAGGAAUGUCAUACCUCCCACCACAUUAUUAUUAAAGAUUUAUUAUGUUUCUUUAACUUUUUUCUACUUUAACCUUGUCCUAAGCAAAAAUUCUCAUGAAAUUGGGGAUUUGAUUAACUAAUUAUACAUUUUUCUGCUAUACAUGAAAAUAAGUACUGUUUUAAUCAACUAUUAAAAGUUGUUGGUCCGUGUACCACUUUAAAUAA